CCCGCUGAACUUAAGCAUAUCAAUAAGCGGAGGAAAAGAAACUAACAAGGAUUCCCCUAGUAACGGCGAGUGAACCGGGAAGAGCUCAAAUUUAAAAUCUGGCGUCCUCCGGGCGUCCGAGUUGUAAUCUAUAGAAGUGUUUUCCGUGGUGGACCGUGUCCAAGUUCCUUGGAAAAGGAUAUCAGAGAGGGUGACAAUCCCGUCCUUGACACGACAACCAUUGCUCUGUGAUACACUUUCUACGAGUCGAGUUGUUUGGGAAUGCAGCUCAAAAUGGGUGGUAAAUUCCAUCUAAAGCUAAAUAUUGGCGAGAGACCGAUAGCGAACAAGUACCGUGAGGGAAAGAUGAAAAGCACUUUGGAAAGAGAGUUAAACAGUAUGUGAAAUUGUUGAAAGGGAAACGAUUGAAGUCAGUCGUGUUGGAGAGAUUCAGCUAGUUCUGCUGGUGUAUUUCUCUUCAACGGGUCAACAUCAGUUUGGAUCGGUGGAUAAGGACAAGGGAAUGUGGCUCUUCGGAGUGUUAUAGCCCUUGAUCGCAUACAUUGGUUCAGACUGAGGAAUGCAGCUCGCCUUUAUGGCCGGGGUUCGCCCACGUUCGAGCUUAGGAUGUUGACAUAAUGGCUUUAAACGACCCGUCUUGAAACACGG
rnacentral:rRNA from 1 species